rnacentral:rRNA from 1 species
UACGAAGGGGGCUAGCGUUGCUCGGAAUCACUGGGCGUAAAGGGUGCGUAGGCGGGGCUUUAAGUCAGGGGUGAAAUCCUGGAGCUCAACUCCAGAACUGCCUUUGAUACUGAAGAUCUUGAGUUCGGGAGAGGUGAGUGGAACUGCGAGUGUAGAGGUGAAAUUCGUAGAUAUUCGCAAGAACACCAGUGGCGAAGGCGGCUCACUGGCCCGAUACUGACGCUGAGGUGCGAAAGCGUGGGGAGCAAACAGG